AAAAGAAGAAUUCUUCUUCAAAUAGACUUUCUCAAAACAGAUCCAAUGCAGCAACUCGAGCAAGAGCUGUUUGAGCAUAAACUAAACAAUCUGGAAGAGCAAAUUGAACAAGAGCGACUCGCAGACCAGUUUGAACAUGACAAUGAGCAACUCAAGCAAGAGCAAGAGCUAGAUCUGUAUUAUCAACAUGAGCAAGAGCGACUGGAGCAAGAGCGACUGGAGCAAGAGCGACUGGAGCAAGAGCGACUGGAAGAAGAUCUGUAUUAUCAAGAUGAGCAAGAGCAAGAGCAAGUUUAACGUUGUGAUGGGUGCAUCUGACCCUUAAAUCGGGCCUAAGGAUACAUCAGAUUCGUUUUAUUUUCAUUGUAAAAGACUUGCUAAAUCCCAGAAAUAAUGAAAAGAGUUUACAGAUGAUCAAACUACAGGCCCUAUCUAAUUGCCAUAGUUGAAAUAACUGUUGCCGGGGAUACAAAUGCACACGUGUAUCAGGCGUGGUUCGUCCAUAGUGCAUGGUCGUGCAGUGACGCCCAAUUGUGUAAAUGUUCUAGUAUGUGGGCCUAUUACGAAAAGCACCCACAAUCAAGUAAUAAAAUAAAAGAUGUAGUUGGAUUUAAAAAAACCAAUAGUCCCCUGACCGUGGGCUCCGGAAGUUUGUAUUUCACUUGUUUUGCCAUCUUCAAGGUCUAAGUAAGAAAAUUAGCCCCCAUGCCUCUUUUGAAAAGGUGGGCGUUACCCAUGAGGCCUUCAAAUCCAAGAUGGCCGCCAAAUGGCAAAAAAACCGAUAGAACUCAUUGUCUUUUUCCAACACAUAUGAAGUGUGAUACAUUACUUUUAUGGGAUUUUUUAGGUCAAGAAGUUCAUUUUUAAUGUCAUUUUUAGCCUUUAGUAAAAUAUCAGUGGAAAAAAUCCAAUAUGGCUGCCAUCGGCCGCAUUGAAAAA